rnacentral:rRNA from 1 species
CUAAAAUUCUAGCCAGUUAACCCUAACUACCAAAAAACAAAACAAACCAUUUAAUCUAAUAGUAUGGGCGAUAGAAAUUUAUUAUGCGCAAUAAAAAAGUACCGCAGGGGAAAGAUGAAAUAAAAAUGAAAUAAAUAAUAAAACAAAGAAAAGAAAAGACUAAACCCUAUACCUUUUGCAUAAUGGUCUAGUAAGUCCAACCUAACAAAAAGAAAUAAAGUUAGCCACCCCGAAACUAGACGAGCUACUCAAAAGCAGCAUUAACCAGGGCCAACCCGUCUCUGUGGCAAAAGAGUGGGACGACUUUUAAGUAGAGGUGAAAAGCCUAACGAGCCUAGUGAUAGCUGGUUGCUUGAGAAAUGAAUAUUAGUUCAGCUUAAAGUACUUUCAACUAAUGAAAAAAAUAAAAAUAGCACUUUAAAGUUAAUUAAUAGGGGUACAGCCCUAUUAAUAAAGGACACAACCUACAUAAUGAAUAAAGAUUAUAUUAACAAAAGAAACUAACCAUGUAGGCCUAAAAGCAGCCACCAUAAGAAAGCGUCAAAGCUCAACUUAACUAAUCCCCUUAUUAUACCAAUAAAAAAAUCUAAAUUCACAAAUAUAUCAAGCCUAUCUACUAGUAGAUGAGUUUAUACUAGAAUGAGUAACAAGAACAAAUUCUAUACAUGCAAGCGUAAAUCAGGGCGAAAAAAUCACUGAUAAUUAACAAUUUUAAAUACUAAACAACAAGAAAGGCACAUUAAAGUAAUUGUUAACCCAACACAGGAGCAUCAAAAAAGAUUUAAAGAUUAAAAAGGAACUCGGCAACCAAGAGCUCCGCCUGUUUACCAAAAACAUCGCCUCUUGCCCUCCAAGUAUAAGAGGUCCCGCCUGCCCAGUGAUUAAUUUUAACGGCCGCGGUAUCAUGACCGUGCAAAGGUAGCGUAAUCACUUGUCUUUUAAAUAAAGACCUGUAUGAAAGGCAAAACGAAAGCUCAACUGUCUCUUUAAUCUAAUCAGU